rnacentral:ncRNA from 16 species
UUUUCAUCCCUGUCAGAGGUAAAAAUAGCUGUAUAAACGGCACGUUCACUUAAGUGAACAUCACUCUGACAGAAUACCCUGCUGUACCCCUACGAGUGUCUCAAAGAAAGCGGUGUAACCAG